CAGUGAGGGGUUAGGUGCCUUGCUCAAGGGCACUUCAGCCGCUUUCUACUGGUCGGGGUUUGAACCGGCAACCCUCCGGUCACAAGUCCGGAGCGCUAACCAGGAGGCCACGGCUUCCCCAACUAAGAAUGCACUUGUGCACUCAUAUUAAGUAUUUAGUUUAACAGCAUGUGGGGUCGACACUGGUAAACCUCACGAGUGUUACAGAACCACCCUGCACCACCACACAGAAAAAGGCUGUGCCAACAUCGCAGUCUGUCUCAGAAUCACCACAGCAGUCUUACAGCGAAGCCGUAAAAAUAAAAAGUAAAAAUAUCAUGGCUGUCAGACUUUUAUUGAAAGAAAAAGUCAGAGGCUGCAAAUGCAAUGAUGUUAACAAAGCCAUGUAAUGGAUAGGAGCACCAGUGAGAGACAUGUUCAUUUGGUAAGUCAGGCCUCAUAGUCUCUCCUGAUGUUGUCUGAACGCGCCGUAAAACAGCAGGCGUUUAAUGGCCGAGGCCGGCCGACAUCAGACCGGGGAUCUCCGGUGCGGGGAACGCUGGGGCCUCCCUGACCCCUUCGCUAAGCGCCGCUAAGAGGGGAAAAGAGCGCGGCACGCAGACUCCAGCCACUAUUGGAAACUCUCAAUUGAGUGUUUCAACAUAUGUUGCCGCCCGAGAUGUCAAUCACCUCUCUGUUUUCUUCAAGAAUGGCUCCAAAUUAGGGAGUGUAAUUAUCAUUAAUUGAGCCCCUUUCAUAGAAUUCUGUGUUUUUCUUCUCUGCUUCUCAUCAUUCCGUCGCCAGUCAUUUUCACCGUGAGACAAAUACCCCUGUGGUAACCAUAGCGACCCCGUCUGCCCAUUCGUUCUGCCUGGCUAGGACAGCGAUGACCUUCCUGUGUUCUCUCCCAGACGUCACCAUUGACGCCUCCACCACCAGGGCGGCCAUCACUGUGGCCAUCCAUCUCCAGGACUGCCUUCUGAAGCGGCUCUCUCCUUACUAAUGAAGUACAGGCACCUGCACUUUCUCCACUCCAAACCCCCUCCCUCCUCCUCCUUCUCCUCCUCCCGUGACCCCUCAAGGUGUCUCACAUGUCAGCGUCAGCGUCAUGAAAGCAAGGCUGGGCUGGUCAGGGGUGGGAAGGCUACUCGAGGCAGGAAUCCAGAAGGAUCUAUACAGUAGAUGACUCUGCUAUAAAUUCACAUUAGUAAUAUUUACUGCAAUGUUAUAAUGCCAUUUGCAAUACUAUUUAGACACCGCUUUGAUCUGUUUGCUAUAAUACCAAACUGAAAUAACUAUGAACACAAGGAGCUGGUUAGUAAUUUAUUAUUAGUGAAAGCUGGCUUAUGUAGGGCAGACAUUUUUAUUUUGACACCCCCCAGAGCUGCUGUCUAAUGUCUACUGUUGCACACACAACUCUAGUUGCUGACAUGUUGGUGUGACAUGCAUUAUUUUGUUAUGUUGACAUUUAGGACUUCUGUUGCCUUUACCCAUGGGUUCAAUUAAUAAUUCUUGUUGGAAAACAAUUCAAAGUAAGACGAUGCAAAAAGCAUAAUGACACACUUCCUUCAUGCUUCAUAGGAGUUUUGUGCAUCAUGCACACCAAAUUGUACAAGCCCUGUGAAAGCAAAGCUUGAAUCAGUUUAAACAUAUAUUAUUACACAGCGCUUCAGAGUGCUGCAGAAAGUUCCAUUUGCAUGAAUAGGCCUUCCCAUUUGUAGGUCUGUGAAAACUAUAUUUACUACAAAGUAUAUAAUGACCGCUGUCAAUGGCAAUGGUUUUGUGCUUUUGUAUGGAGUGAUUUUUGUGCCACUAGAAACUGAAUCUGAAUAUUUUGUAUUUUCAUUUGAAUUGCUGAAUUUGAGCAAUUGUAUUGGGGGGAAAAACUGAUUUGAAUAUAUUUGGAAAUUAAAUUCAUAAGUUUGUAACUGAAUCCCAUAAACUUGAAACUGAAUGUAAUGUUUUGAUAUUAAAUGAAUUUGCUCUUCACUGAAAAUCCCACUCUCUAUAUGCACUUUCUGUUCUCACAAUUCAGUUUCAGACUGUGAAGUUCAAUUUCAAUCUAGUGAGACGCAACAGCUGUUGGCUGAGAAAGAGCAAUUGAGUGCCUAUCGCUGCUCUUUCACCUCUACAUAAAGCCAUAGUUAGGAACAGAAAUAAAAACCUAAUUGAUAAAUAAGGCAGAGAUUAUAGCAAGGGUCUGGUGUAGACUGCUCACAACCUAGGGUCUACAGUAUUUAUGGAUGAUAAUGAGUUCAAACAUUCUUUUGGGAGCAAAACACGUUAAUCUGAAGAGUUCUGAGCAACAUUAUGAAAUUACUUAUAAAUUGUAGGUUAACAGCAGCCAUGAGCCACAUCAAAAUAAAUUGCUGAUUUUAAUUCACUGAUAAGGUUCAACAGCCUUACUCUUCGGUGGUAGUGUGGAGAGGGUCCCUAAAAACAAAUGAAAGUAUCGUUAACUUUGAUGUUCUGUACAGAGAGGUUAUAACAAAAACAGUUUUUUGCAUUACCAAUGAAAACUGUAA